UACGAAGGGGGCUAGCGUUGCUCGGAAUCACUGGGCGUAAAGCGCACGUAGGCGGAUUGUUAAGUCAGGGGUGAAAUCCUGGAGCUCAACUCCAGAACUGCCUUUGAUACUGGCGAUCUCGAGUCCGGGAGAGGUGAGUGGAACUGCGAGUGUAGAGGUGAAAUUCGUAGAUAUUCGCAAGAACACCAGCGGCGAAGGCGGCUCACUGGCCCGGUACUGACGCUGAGGUGCGAAAGCGUGGGGAGCAAUCCGG
rnacentral:rRNA from 1 species